rnacentral:lncRNA from 1 species
GUGGCAUGAUAUGCUGCCAACCAGUCCAUCCCAAGGAUCAUGUCGAAAUCCUUCAUCCCUAGGACUAGUAAAUCUACUUUCAUUUCCCUGCCCUCAAUAUUCAAGAUACAAUCUUUGCAAACAGAGUUAACUAAGAUUACAUCUCCAUUAGGGAUGGAGACACACAGUUCAGUCUCUAGUGGCAAAGAAAUCAAUGUACUAUUUCUUCCAACAAAAUCAGCAGAUACAAAAGAAUGAGUAGCUCCAGGAUCAAUCAAAAUAUAGGCAUUC